UGUUGCACACUGUCCCUGUCAGAGCCACGCCUGAGUCCUCCAGAGGCUUUCUACAGUUAAGAAAAGGCUGCCCCUCUGGGCAGACACAGCUCAGUGGCCUGAAACCUGGGCUAGAUUUCAGCCCCCAUUUGCUGCUUUGAGCUGUAUGUCCCUCACCCACCUCCACAAGGCGGCUGGGUCAGAGAGGACGCCGAUUGCCUGACAGAAGGAUGCUGGCGGGAUGCAGAGUGAGGGACCCACCAGAGAGUUAGCCUCCUAAAGAGGACACAGAUGACUUCUGGAGCAUGCCAUGGCUGAGCAAAACAUAAAACCGAUGCAAGGUAAAUUUCCCUCAAAAUAGCUUCAAAUAUGAUACCAGGAAAGAAUUCAAGUUCACAAACUCAAUCAUUAAGCAAAGCCCGAGAGAAAUAAUGAACCUAAUUUGAAAAUGGAUGUGAGUAAACACUUUUUAAAAAAUCUUAGACAAGCCAACAUUUUCCUUGAUGUCAAUUUUUAUAAUAUGCUUUGGCUUAAUGACUACUAAUGGAGUUGUCUCCAUUUUUGGAUUGGAAAAAAUAAAUUGCUGGUGAAGUGACUCACAGGAGGUUCUUCUAAAGUAAACAAGGCCUUGUCUUCCAGUUAAGUGUGAUCUUCUGGGAUGAUCUUCCUGGAAAAUGGUCUCAGCUCAAGCCUCUUCUUUAAGCUCCACAGGGAUGGACAGAUCUUGUGCAAGCUUAUGGUCAUUGAAGCCACACUAAACCUACAGGUUGCAAUGCUAUGAGAAGUAGGUCAUUCAGAUUGUGGACCUUCAGUGCUUUGGCUCUUGACACUGCUCCCAGGAACGAGAAGAAUUGAUUUGGGAUUUCAGCCCUGGUGUGUUAGGUUCUGACUGACCACCGAAUGUCACUCUGGGAUGACAUGUGCCCUGACUGGCAAUCAAACCUUGAACUUGAAAGGUGGGACGAUCAACCACUGAGCCAUGUUGGCCAGGCUGGCAUGAGAGAAACCUAGUUUUCAAGGUUCUGAUUAUGCAGUAGAUGGUUGAGUCAGUCUUUUGGGUCUCUGUCUGUUCCCUUCCGUUGCCUGAUUUUAGUCAUCAGGGAAAGGAAAGGAAGAAGAAGCACAGAAAUGUCUGUCUGAGUUGACAGCUCCAGCAGUUUUGGCACAAGAGGGAGGUGGUGGAACCUAUUUCAAAUAUCUGUGUUUUUUUUUCUAAAUAUAUUUUAGACUCAUAGAAGAAGAGAGGUAAUCAGUAUAUUCCUCUAAGAUAAUGAAUCCCAUACUUUUCUGUGACUCAGGAAAUUUAUUGACAGAUAGACAAUAAAAAACAAGCAAUACUAUAAUAAGUAAAUUAUUUGGUAAGUUUUAAAAAUGGUAAGUCUAUGAAUAAAGCAUAAAGUAGGAGAAAGGAAGGGGGUGCGACAAUUCAGACUAACAAUAUUUCAAGGGCUCAAUAGUCACAUGUGGAUGCUGCAGAUCUGAUAAAUCAUUACUCAUGUUGAUUCUCAAUUAUUUUAAACUCGAAUGAAAGCUAGCUUGUCAAGAUGGCUUUAUGGCAAGGGGUAUUGACAACACAGAACAGAUUAGCCUUACACUUUCUUUUUAAGGAAGCUAGAUACCAGCGAGGACAGAAAAUAAAGGCUGGAGGUAGAACUCUAUUAAAUAGCUCAAGAGAAAGACAUCCUUUUUGCUUUCAUUGUUUCUACAGAGAAGUCUACUGUUUUUUUUCCUGUUUUUUUU